rnacentral:rRNA from 1 species
AUUCCGGUUGAUCCUGCCGGAGGCCAUUGCUAUCGGAGUCCGAUUUAGCCAUGCUAGUCGCACGAGUUCAGACUCGUGGCAUAUAGCUCAGUAACACGUGGCCAAACUACCCUACAGACCGCGAUAACCUCGGGAAACUGAGGCCAAUAGCGGAUACAACUCUCAUGCUGGAGUGCCGAGAGUUGGAAACGUUCCGGCGCUGUAGGAUGUGGCUGCGGCCGAUUAGGUAGAUGGUGGGGUAACGGCCCACCAUGCCGAUAAUCGGUACAGGUUGUGAGAGCAAGAGCCUGGAGACGGUAUCUGAGACAAGAUACCGGGCC